rnacentral:rRNA from 1 species
UACGGGGGGAGCAAGCGUUGUUCGGAUUUACUGGGCGUAAAGGGCGCGUAGGCGGUCAGCACAAGUCAGUUGUGAAAUCUCCGGGCUUAACUCGGAAAGGUCAACUGAUACUGUGCGACUAGAGUGCAGAAGGGGCAACUGGAAUUCUCGGUGUAGCGGUGAAAUGCGUAGAUAUCUGCAGGAACACCCGUGGCGAAAGCGGCGCGCUGGACCACUACUGACGCUGAGGAACGAAAGCUAGGGGAGCAAACAGG